GACGAACCGUGCGAACGUUAUUCGGAAUCACUGGGCUUAAAGGGCGCGUAGGCGGAUUCACAAGUCUGUGGUGAAAUCCUCCAGCUUAACUGGAGAAGUGCCGUGGAUACUGUGAGUCUCGAGGAGGGUAGGGGCAUCUGGAACUGCCGGUGGAGCGGUGAAAUGCGUUGAUAUCGGCAGGAACUCCGGUGGCGAAGGCGCGAUGCUGGAUCCUUUCUGACGCUGAGGCGCGAAAGCCAGGGGAGCAAACGGG
rnacentral:rRNA from 1 species